rnacentral:rRNA from 1 species
AGCAGUCGCCACGGUAAUACGAAGGGGGCUAGCGUUGUUCGGAUUUACUGGGCGUAAGGGGCGCGUAGGCGGACUGAUAAGUCAGGGGUGAAAUCCCAAGGCUCAACCUUGGAACUGCCUUUGAUACUGUUUGUCUUGGGUUCGAGAGAGGUAAGUGGAACUGCGAGUGUAGAGGUGAAAUUCGUAGAUAUUCGCAAGAACACCAGUGGCGAAGGCGGCUUACUGGCUCGAAACUGACGCUGAGGCGCGAAAGCGUGGGGAGCAAACAGGAUUAGAUACCCGCGUAGUCCCUGUCUCUUAUAC